GACCCGGGCAACAUCGUCAAACUGCGGGAAAGCCCUGCCACGACUCUCGGGACCUCACCGCCCCAGCAAUGGAAGCGGGUGCCUACGGCCAGCGGCCGCGGGUACGGUAAAGCACCGAAGUCUAGGGGCGAUCCGCCGCCAAACCCUCCCCGCACCGGGAGGGCCCAGCUCACAGGCCAGACGGCGAUGGGCGCUCUCGCGCUUAAGAUAUGGUCGAGUGACUCGCCGAGAGGCGGGUGCAACUCAGGAACGUCCGUAGGUGAACCUGCGGAAGGAUCAUU
rnacentral:rRNA from 1 species